UAGGCCAGUCAAUAGGGAAUAGGGUUUAUAACAAGUUCCGUUAUAUCUUUCACACCUCUCUCUCAAAACCUACCAGCCGUCUAGCCUCUCCCAGAUCAAGCUUCUACAAUGGCCUUUGCCAAGGCGCAGAAAAGCAGGGCUUACUUCAAGAGGUUUCAAGUCAAGUUUAAGAGAAGGCGAGCUGGGAAGACUGACUACAGGGCUAGGAUUCGCCUGAUUAAUCAGGACAAGAACAA